AUGGCGCGGAAAGGGGAGGGCGCGGGUCCUAAUCCUCCGGCGACGACCAUGAUCUACGCGAUGGUGGCGCGGGGGACGCUGGUGGUGGCGGAGCACACGGCGUACACGGGCAACUUCCGGGACAUCGCGGCGCAGUGCCUGCACAAGCUCCCCGCCGGCGACAGCCGCUUCACCUACACCUGCGACGGCCACACCUUCACCUUCCUCCUCCACCAGGGAUACGCCUACUGCGUGGUGGCGACCGAGUCGGCGGGGCGCGAGGUGCCCCUCGCCUUCCUGGAGAGGAUCAAGGAGGAGUUCAACAAGCGGUACGCCGGAGGCAAGGCCGCCACCGCCACCGCCAACAGCCUCAGCAAAGAUUUCGGGCCGAGGCUGAAGGAGCAGAUGCAGUACUGCAUGGAUCACCCGGAGGAGGUGAGCAGGCUGUCCAAGGUGCAGGCCCAGGUCUCCGAGGUCAAGGGCAUCAUGAUGGAAAACAUCGACAAGGUGAUCGAUCGCGGGGAGCAGAUCGACGGCCUGGUGACGAGGACUGAGCAGCUCCACGACCAUGCCAUGGAUUUCAGGACCGAGGGCACGCGGCUCCGCCGAAGGAUGUGGUACCAGAACAUGAAGAUCAAGCUCAUCGUCGCCGGCAUCGUCGUCGCCAUCAUCCUCAUCAUCGUCCUCUCCAUCUGCCAUAGGGACCACUGCAAGUAG
rnacentral:rRNA from 1 species